rnacentral:rRNA from 1 species
AACGAACGCUGGCGGCGUGCCUAACACAUGCAAGUCGUGCGAGAAAGUUCCUUCGGGAGCGAGUAAAGCGGCGCACGGGUGAGUAACACGUAGGUAACCUGCCCCCCAGUCUGGAACAACUAGAGGAAACUCUAGCUAAUGCCGGAUGAGACCACGAUCCCUUCGGGGGUUGCGGCCAAAGAUGGCCUCUACUUGUAAGCUAUCGCUGAGGGAUGGGCCUGCGGCCAUUAGCUUGUUGGUGAGGUAACGGCUCACCAAGGCUGUGAUGGCUAGCUGGUCUGAGAGGAUGACCAGCCACACUGGGACUGAGACACGGCCCAGACUCCUACGGGAGGCAGCAGUGGGAAUAUUGGCGCAAUGGGGCGAAAGCCUGACGCAGCGACGCCGCGUGGGGUGAUGAAGGCC